CUUACGCACAGAGGGGAGCGGGGCAUUCCGACUCUCCCGUUCCCCCCAACGGUUCAGCAGGGAACUGGUGGAGGAGUGCAGACUGCGUUUGAUAACAAGAAGUUUCCACAGCUUUGUAAUUAGUUAGAGUUAAAUUGUUCUGCAACACUAUACAUACUUUAAAUUAAAUAUUUGACAUUGGUGGUAAAUUGUUAAACCAAACCAAUGUGGACUUUUGGUUUAGGAAACUCUUUAGAUCUAUGUAUUGUUUCAAACCAAAUAUAUAAAACAGACUGAAAGGGUGGGUAACAACAGGGACACAUUUAAAGGCUAUUAUAUCGGCAUUUUCUGUCUGUUUUACAACAGCAAGGUAAUCUGAGUUUUAAUUUGGAGAGGAAUAAAUCACCGGAAGUAUUAUUUUGGUCAAGUCUUGUAAUGAGCUAACUAAGUGGCUUUUUAGACCGGUGUCAAUUCUUUGAGACUGCUAGACUUGGCUGCGUCAUAUCAAAGGCACGUGCUACUCUGCUGGUUAAUUAAUCAACCAUAUUGUUAGCUGGUUACAAAUAACUAAGACAUAUUUUAAGUGUUUAAAUCUAUCGUGGUCAAAGAAGUACAAGCGCCCUGUGAUGGCAUAUCAACUCUCACUUUCAGAUCAAAUGGAUAUACAUGUGCCCAACAACAUGGACCAGCUUGCCGUUAAAUACAUGGAGAUGUGUACAGUGUCCAGCAGUGAUUCUGACUCGGAGAUCAGUCGAAGAUGGUCAGACGCCAGCACUAUGGGGUGCGUGAACAGUACACCAGAGACUGUGACUUUUCGGCAGACUUUGCCAUUAACUCACAAGCCUGAAGGAAGGUAUGGCUGUUACUCUUUGUUUUCGGACCCAUAUGAUGGGAGCUCUGAGGAUUCUGAUGAGUCAAACAUUAAUGGGGGUGUCUCCAUCAGGCGAUUCAAGCAGCAGGGAAAAGGUGGAGAAGGAGGCAGUCGGCUCUCUGGACGGAGCAGAAGGUUUAACCUACAUAAUCCUGCUUCUGUUUCCCUCAGGGAAGUGGAGAAAAAUAGAAUGAGAGAUGCUUUAUCAGACAACGAUGUCCAGAUGAAAUGUGGGAGUGACUCUGAGAUGUGUGUCAAUUACAUUUUGCCCUCACACAGAGACCGAUAUGGUGGUAGAGAUCUUUCAGAGCAAAUGGCCAAUGAUUCAACAAAGCAAUCCCAAACCAUGGAUAUAGCUUUGCACUGUCAACUAGAUGAUUCAGGCUUUCAUGCUACUAGAUCUUCCACACCUCACACACCUGGAACUGUAACCCCAGCCGAAGUGAGUUUGACCCAGGCGACAGAUCUCUCCUCUGAGAGCUCCCCCUGCCCCUGUGACCUCAGGUCGCUUUACAAGAGAAAGCUGGGUUUCCCUGGAACAGAAGUGGUUGAGCUGAGGCAAAGAAAGAGGCAGUGUGUUGUCAACAUGGAGGACCAACAAGAAGAACGGGACUCUGCAUCUGAACCAUGUUAGAGCCAUCUAACCAUGGAAUGACACACUGCAGUCAUAUUCAAUGCCUUAAAAAAGUUAAUUUAUAU